rnacentral:rRNA from 1 species
UACGGAGGUCUCAAGCGUUGUUCGGAUUCAUUGGGCGUAAAGGGUGCGUAGGUGGCAUGGUAAGUCGGGCGUGAAAUCCCACGGCUCAACCGUGGAAGUGCACUCGAAACUGCAUAGCUAGAGUCCUGGAGAGGAAGGUGGAAUGCUUGGUGUAGAGGUGAAAUUCGUAGAUAUCAAGCGGAACACCGGUGGCGAAGGCGGCCUUCUGGACAGUGACUGACGCUGAGACGCGAAAG